CGUUCAACAUCACUUUAUUCUGCUGCGCAAAUAUCCUGCGCUUCGAUCGCCCGGCGAUGGAAACGUUGGACUUUGUUGGUGCGUUCGCGCAAAGUUUCCAGUGCGCUAGCGCAGAAAGAAGCAAUGCACCCAGUGGAAGUGGCAGUGACAGUGAGCAUCAGUGCGCCCAGUGAAAGUGUGAUGCGCAUGUGACUAACAAAUCGGCAAACCCAUCUCGUGCAAAAACAGUGCAAAAAUCAGAGAAGCAAAAUUUGUACCAGCAUAUAAUGUCCACAAAACAAAAGAAGCAAAACAGCAUACUAUGCAGCCAAAUCUGUAUCGAAAAAUCGGUCCUUAUUUUUGUGAAACUUAGUUUGGCAAUAGUAAAUUCUGUUCUGAUGCUACAUCUACUAAAAUGGUGUGAAUAAAGUGACGUUGAACCGACUUUGCAAUGGAAAACAAGAUAGAAGGAGUUGAACGAACUCACCAACCCGACAUUCAUAGCCGAAGCAUCAUGUUUGGAAUCAUUCAUACCCGAAUAAGCACAUAUUUGAAGAACUUGAACAAGACAAAUCAAUAUAACAUGGGCAUCGUUAAGAGAAGAUACAAAACAAACAAGUCAUCCCGUGCGAAAAUAAUACAUGUCAAAUGUUUAACGCUUAAAAAAACACGAAAAAGAUACAGUUUUCCGAUCGACCGACCAGCAAAGGCAUUGGCAAUAGAGUGAAACAUACAAGAUCACACAUGAAAACUCAUUCCAGAAGAAUCUCAAGUUAGCCGAACGUAACAUUUCAGAUGAGCAACAAAACCAUAAGAAAAAAGAACGGAAGAGAAAAAAGAAACACAAAAGAAACGUCCGAAUAAUCAAACUCGUUCAAAUCACCCAAAAGAAUGUUCAAACAGAAUGUUCAUUGAACACAAGUCACAGUUAUGGAGGAAAAAGGCGAAAAGAAGCUCACCCCUGGCCUUUGAAAGAGAAGAAGAAAGCAUUCAAUGAAUAAAAUAUUGAUACGCCAUCUUGUCCAUCUUCACAGCGACGACAGUCGAGAUGCCAUGCUCGACCACACCACAGCGAAGCGUCUUUCGGUGUAGAUUAAACACCAAGACGCAGCACCGGCAUAUGGACAUGCAGCACGUGUCACCUACGCAGCACGCCUGCUCACGCACCAAAUCUAUCGAAACAAGAAGAAAACAAAGAAAUCCAAAAUCACUCGCACAUACACCCAUACAAUCGGAAAACGGAGAAGAACUAUAUACAAAACGCAACCCUGCAAAAAGAAAUCGUACACAAUCUUAAGCUGCCGCGUUCCGUUCCAAAAACACCAAACCUCUCCAUGAGGAGAAGAAGCACCAUCGUUCGGCUGGGGAAAACCCUAUUUCCCCUAUUUUCUUCGGCACGCAGUAACAGCAUACACUACUACCAAUACUACGACAAUUUCCGGGCAGAACAGUUCGUCUGGCUUCGAACGUGGCAGCGCAAACGGUAGCGGAGGAGAAAAUUCUAAAACCAAACGGGGAAAAUGUUCCGAGCGUUUUCCCCGUCCAACAGUCUAACAUAAUACCAGCAGCAGCAGCAGCAGCAGCGCCAUCGUGUAAGCAGCAUUUCGGGAAAUAGACAGCUGGCACAUCGCGAACCAUCUGACAGCAUCGUGGCAGGCGUGUGUUUGCAGCGAGACAGCAGGGUGACACCAACGUGGGACAGCAACGACGAAGACGACGGCCGAGCGAAAGCUUCCAAGCGCCAGAGGAAGCUUGCAGAGAAGUAUAACCACACAUAUUAUUGUUUUCAUUUUUCGUGCAAGGCAUUGUCCCGCAACAGGGCGACAGCUGCUUCUAUUUGGCAUUCCUGUUUGGGUUUGCACAAGGCAUUUUUUAAAUAAGUAUUUUUUUUUUGUUUUAUUUCAUUUCUGAUGAACGUGUUUUGUUUAUUUUUCACAUCACUCGAUUAAAUCGUUUAUUUUUUCACUGAAGAUCUACAUUCUGAUAGCAACAGAGCACAGAAAACAAAACAACGCCUCCAAAUUAAAUAGUACCCCGUUAAUGAAAGCAAACGAAACAAUGUGAUAAACAAAAGUUAAAAGCAAAACUGAUAUAACAAAAGUCUAUAAAACAACUCAAAAAUCAACCAUAAAGAAACUAUGUCUACUAAAUCCAAAAUCCCAAAAUCUACAAUCACACAACACGAAAAACAUUCCACAAUCACCUCUUAUCACUCAAACGUAUGCAUCGCUCCAAUUUUAUUUCAUAGUUUUUAAAUAACACCUACUUUAAGUCACUUUAGCACACAUAUAAAUUAACAAAAACUGAAGCAUUCCACCAGCAUGCCAAAACAGUAAAGAAAAUUGUAGGCCAAGCCGUUUUUCAACGUACUGAGUCUCAAAAACAACGCAGUAAUAGAAUUGGUAAUAGCUGACCGGGCUUGUUUUGAUGAAGCUUCUGUUUUCAAUCACGACACAGAAUUGAUAGCAUUAUAACACUUAGUUUACCGCUGCAAACGUUUACAAUCAUCCCAAUGAAAAUGAUAACAGAAAUAUUUCACUCAGGUUUUAGUUAUUAAUACAACUUGUUGCCGAUAAAGGCGAUAUCCAAUUCAACUACAAUAAUAUAGUCGCCAACGGUGCGAUUUAUCGAUCCAUCUAUCUGUUUCUCUCACACAAGAGAUUCAACACUACCACAAACACUGAUCUACUUAACAACUCAACAUUGCACCCAAUCGCCAGAAACAAGAAACAAUAGCAAUAAACAAAAACUGGAAUGUUUUGUUUCGAGUAACGUGUAACUCAGUUCUAAACGAUUGUACUUUUACACACAAAUCAAUGACAAACCUCCUCCUCCAUCCCCGAAAUGCCUCUCGUAAAUUCAACUAGUUAAAUGAUUUAAUCGCCAGCAAAACCAGCCCUCCUUUCCCCAGGUGAAGCUCGAAAUCCAAUUGUUAUUUGAUGAAGAAGAAAGGAACAGAAACAGAUAAAGCCAAGCUGAAGAAACCUCAUAUGUGAUAAUUAUACUUAUUCGUGGCCAAAUCAUGAAAAUAUGUGAAAAACAAAUAGUAAAAUAUUUUAAAAAGCAAACAUUUUGUUAUAGUCAUGAAACAUGAAAACAAAAGUUAAGGAAAAAAACAGAAAAAAAUUCACACAAUGAUAGCCAAAACGAAUUGCAGGUUGAGCCUGUAUUUAGUGAAUAUCAAAUUAAAUCAAUUAGCUGCACCAAAAAGAAGAAAAGAAAAGCAACACUAAACCUUACAAAAAACAGAAGAAAAUUAAAAGAUGAAAUAAUUCUUUGUUUGACUGUGAUGAAAUAUAAAUUUGUUCUAAACAAUCGCUAUCAAUUAAGUUGAUAAUAGACAAGAAAAAUGGCAAUAAUGUGAUGUUGGAACAAUGUUGAUUUGUUUAUCCAAAAGUAACACAUACAACAACAAAAAUCAACCUGCCAAGUUCAGUUCGGGUAUGGCAGAAAGCGCUUACCCUCGCACAAACAUUUAGCUGAAGAAUUGUUAAUAUUUGAUCGAAUUUAUUUCAUUGUUGAAAAGUACCGAUUUAUAAACAACCAACUGGACUGAGUUUAUUUUUGUAAAGUGAUACAAAUGAGGCUCCUAUUUGUUAAACAGUAUCGCAAUUGAAAUUGAAUGUUAGAAUCAUCAUGCACAAAACGUUGCUGGUUUGUUGGGGGAAAAUUUUCGUGGAAAAAUGAAUUCUUUCUUACAAACGCAAGGCACAAAACCAAAUGUGAUACGAACAAAAAAUCAAACGAUGAAGAACAAACAAAAUCUCAAACACAAACACUAUUACGGAAAGGGGCAUCGAAACCAAAAAUGAAACUGUUGGCAACCAUAAGCGCACGAUUUGGCAUGUAGCAUAUUCGAGCAAAUGGGCGAUGUACAAUUUUCUGCAAAGCUAAAUUAAAUAGCAAAAACAUAAGCAAACAUUCACUUACGAUUAAGUUCAUGCAUACUUGAGUCGCGAAAGAAGGCAUCCAGUUUUUGUAACGAUCCUAUUUAGUUUCUUGAUUUUGUUUCUGAUUACUUACUCUAGUUUAUAGCAAAUGCUGCCCGCACGGUGAAGGAACAGUGUAUCGCAAAGAGGAGGCAUGUUGUUUGUGCUCGGUUGAGCCACCAAAUCAACAUACCAUCUAUUCCGCAAUCCACUGUGCGGACAGUCGCAACAGGUCACACAGAACAGAGCGAGAUUACUCCCUUGUGGGAGGAAGUAGGCAACGAAUAGUCGAAGUAACAAACGAUACUAAAAUAGUUUCUUUUUUAAUCUUUCUUUUUCUAGACAGGGUCAUUGAAAAUGGGACAAAAAAGGGGGCACGCGCGUUAAAGCUUUCUGGCGAUCAGUCACGAACACGUCUCGCUACUCGCUAGAAACUCGAACCUCGGAAGGAAUUAGCCUGACAAAAACGUUAACCCAAAUCACAAAAGCAAGUACUGAAAAUUCUUCCCUUUUUGCGUCACUAGUUACAGCUGUUUAAAACCAAACACUAAUUAUUCAAAACUGAUACUUAAGAUCAAGACUAUCUGAAAUCAUAACCCUUGAGAUUCAAACCAAAAAGCCCAUAGCUAAAAUUGUGCGUAUCAAGAGACUAGAACCAUCCAUCUUUCACACGCGCACAGGAUUCUUGUAUAUUUAUUUUUUACAUUACCAUUAUGCACACUGAAAAACGCCACUCGCAAAACUAGCGUCGCCGAAUCGGCGUGCAAUGCGGCGGGCUAGAAUGGACAGUGUUUUUCCACAGGCCAGCUAACGCUGUACAACAGGGGGGUUGCGGACGAUUCUAUCCGGUUAGUCAGAGGAAGGAUUGUACGACCGCACUGUGUGCAGCUGCCCCUUCGCAGCUGCAGACGUGGAAAGGGAUAAAAAUUCAUUUUCCAUUCCCACUCCCCUUUUAGCAGGACACGUCGGCCGGAGACGCUAAGGAAAAUUGGUUUUCUUUUGCUAAAAUGAAACUCGAACCCAACGAAGAACUGUAAAAAAAAUGCGCUGUAAAAUUCCUAAAGCAACCACCGAUAAUAAUCUAAAUUAUUAAUAAAAACCACAAAACAACCCUACCACCCCGACUAGCGCUUAGUGGGCCACAAAAUUUGCAAUCAUUUUUCGGUUUUGAUCGAAGCGUGGUGUCUAUAAAAUAUUAACAUGAAACACACAAACGCACACGAACAAGCAGCAAUGAAUUUAUUCGGAAUUUGGUCUAUCGUGAUGAUAGCUUGGGGGACUCGUAUUUCGAGGCACAUGCAAUGUUCGGAUAAUUUGGCAAAACGGAUUUUUGGGGGCAAACGGCAAACGAACGCACUCGGCUGAGGAUUUUUCCCAAAUUCUCUUUGAUGCUUAACUCUAACUACUCUGGACAAGAAAAACCCGCAUCGCGCUAAACUUCUCGAUGGGAUUUUAUUAAAGAUACUGCCCUUUUCCGGGUGCAUAUGAUUGGUAGGAAAUCUUGUAGACACUUCCCUCAAUCGUCCUUGUUUAUAAUCACUGCUUCCCCUUUUAGAGCAACCGUUUUACGCUUCAUUGAGAAUGAAUACCUUCUUGGACGGAAGUUCAGACGAAUUUGGAAGCCAUUUCUGGAAUGAAAAGGUCGGCUCAAAUCUGAAACCAAUUAGUUUAUCAGCAAUUUAGAAGAAUAACCAGGAAUUCAACAAAACAAAAAAACAGUUAAUUCAAUAAUUCAAUAUCAAAAGUUUUUCCAAAUUAUAGCAAUAUUCAAAAAAAAAUACCAGCCUUUUAAACUAAUACCCAGGUCACUUAAAAGUAUACAAACAAUAUUUGAUACUGAGUAAUAUUUGAAUUAAUAAUAAUAAAACAAGCCAUGAAAUUAAAAAAGCCAAUGAAAAAUACACAUGAAAUAACGAACAAAUUCAAAUAUCAAACAAAAAAACAUACAAAAUCGAAGUUCGUAAAAAUGCAAUCCAAAAGAAAACUGAAUACCUGUAAAAAAAUCUCAUAUUUUACAUAAAACUCUUAAAAACUAGGACGGAAAAACAAACGAAAAUUAAUGAAAACAAUAACAAAAAAAUCAAUACAAUCAUUUAAAAACAAAGCCAGUUUCAAAAAACAAAUCAUUUUGUCCCAAUAAAUCAAAAUUAAUAACCUUGUAAGCUCAAUCUCAAAAUCAAUCAAAAUCCCUAGUCAAAAAUUGAAACUUCUGCCUUAAAAACAAUAUUGGCUCUAAAAAAGGUGUAUGUAGAUGAAUGGGUACUAAAAACGACUCUAACGAUUAACAGCAGAAAAACGAUACCAACGAGCAUAAACAUUUAAAAAUAGAAAUACAACACAAAAUUUACUUUUCCCAAAAAUAACAACCAAACCCAAACCCUCAAAACAUCCAAAUCCAAAAAACCAUUGCGCGAAACUCCUUUCGGUAGAAACAAUUUCCGGCAAAGACAUUGGUACCGACAUGGGUAGUGUUUACCGUGGUCGGCAUACGUGCAACAAAAUCUUCUCACAUUCAAACCCAUACGUUAGAACACAGUCUUACUGGGUCGUCUUUUACCCUCUGCUACACGAAAAUGUAAUCAAAUUAUUACUAAAAUAGCAAGCACGAACGAACUAUUUUGUUAAUUAACCUCUCAAAGCGCCUGACCACUGGAGCGUACCACCACCUACCUACAUCGGUAAAGCGGAUGGCGAGAAGAAAGUGCACCUAAUGCUAUAGCUUUGUGCUGUCUCUAUCGUAUCUUCCACAUACCAAUGACACAAGCACACCCAAACAUGAGGCCAUCACAAAAUGCAACAGCAACAAAAAAAACUAACCGACCUUCUGGACCCAAAACGAUACCAGAAACCCAUUUCCUAGACGACAUUCUCGGCGUCAUCUUCAAACAAAUUUCCUUCGGAAAAUUAUUUUAACUUGCACCUCGCACCCUAAUGCGGUGUUGGGUUCCCUCAACACGACAGCGGCGAGCGAAGACAGAGCGAUGCAUCGUAUCGUCAAUCGAAACUGGCUACGCUAUUUGCACUUCAGCAAUCUUCACUAUCAACUUAACUUUCUUCACCUGCUGCACACCCUGUCCACACAGGCGCAAGGUUGGUGCCAGCUACUGAAGAGCGUCAGUCCGAUCGCUGGUGGGUGGAAAAGCGCCCGACAAAACAGCAGGACCUUCUACGCCCAGAAGAUGUCCUGUGAAGCAAUUUAUGUUUUCUUUUGCUUGAGUUACAGGACAACCCCUCACUUUCUGUUCUGGGUUAAUUUGUGUGUGCGUGAGAGUGAGAGCAAAAAGGGCGAUGGUUACUAUAUCUUGAUACAUGCACUGCAUAAUCACGGACACUACGACAAAAAGGGUGAGAAUAUUUGAAAAUGAAUUUGAAUUUCUCAAAAUCAUAUCAAGUCACAUAAGAAGAAAAUUAUUUUCGAAGAAAAUAUUAUAUAAGAAAACAAUAUCUAAUUUACACAAACAUAUCUCAAAUUUUUCAAAAUCAAACAAUGAAACAAAAAACUGCAAGUGGUAUUAAAUCAUUUUCAAAAGAAUAUAACAAAAACAAUCAAUAAUCAGAAAAACAGCAACAUCAAAGAUGAACGUAAAUAGUCACAAAAAGGUAAAAGCAAUAAUUAUGGAAACAUGUGCAAAAACCUAUUAAAGUAAACAGGCAAGCAUUCAAAAACGUACAGCACACAAAAUACAAAUUUCUUUGACAUCUUUGGCCCAUCGGAAGCAAAACUUCCGGUUGCUCAAUUAGGCAGUAUUGUUUACAAACACAACUAAAGCAAGUUGGCAAGAUUUCGCCUAAUCUUGCCUUUCAUAUUGCAACAACUCGACCACAUUUCAUUUUGCACAAACAGGCUUGGUAGCAAAGUUUCAUUCCUUCUGAAGCAUCUCUGUACCAGUCGAUGUUAUGUCUUGGCCGUUUUACUAAUCCUUCCUCCCCAUGCAAAGGGAGCAAAUUUGGAAGCCAUCUCUGAAGUAACUAGAACGAGAAAUUUGCAUAUCUUAGGUGUGCGCUACCUUUUGAAGAAAUUUGCAAAGGCGAAAUGUGCAGACGAGGGACACCUAAUCAUGUGAAACUUUUCCGUAAGAUGCAUAAACCCACUGCAAAAGAACUCCAAAAACAGAAAAUCACACACACACACAGCCGGAAACAUACGUUUGGACUUGAAAGUUACCUAGCAAGAUUGAGGCAAGGGAUUCAUAAAGAUUAUUUAAACCCUGGUCGGAUACGAAAAUCUUUAAAAACAUGCACACAAGAUUGCUGAUGAUGCUGUUACGAUACUGCGCGGCUAGCAAGUUGCCCUUCGUAUUUGCUAACACAUUGGUCAGUUUUUUAUGGGUAUUUGUGUGUGCGUGUGUUCAUGAAAUCAGUUCCAAAGUUAUGAAUAUGGUCAUUGAUUACGUUCCCUUCCUGGUCAUCAUUAGGCCUGCCAUCAAAAGAAAGCGUUUAGUUGGUACGUCUUUCGAUAAUCAUGCAAUAACGACCGGAAUUCUGGUCCAGCAGCUGGUAACGCAAGUGACGCAAAAAGUUAUGAUGUAUCUAUGAAAUAUACGUAUGUAAAAUACCUUCCCCAUCGAAAAACAAAAAAAAAACCGAAGAAAAAUCGUUUGACACUAAUCGUCAAUGUAAUACACUAACCACGGUUCACUUUCUGGUGCUCCAUUUAGCUACAAGAUGACGAGUAGGUUAACCAAAAGAGGUCAAGUUUCUGGACGAGUAGCGUGAGACUAUGUUUGAUAGCAUGAAAUUAAGAAAAAACAAUUUAACUAAAACUGUAUUUUAAAAGCUACAAUUUGGUUCCCAAAAACAUAAUGUCAUAUCAUCAAGUAAAACGGGGUGGGAGUAAACAGUGUGAGAGCCAAUUUUGGGAACGUGAAACAAAAUGAAGCGUGUUUCGUGAUUGAAAAUAUAUUUCUCGUUGGUAUUUGUUCCAUUCGAGCUCUCCACAACGCGUUCCCUCUUAAGACAAAGCAAAUUCCCAGCGAAAAAGUCAGGUUCCUUCGAAGAGGUUUAUUUACUAGGUGCGUACAAUAUUUAAUUCAACCGAGUGUAGUAUUGUCUUUCUGUAUUUUUUUUGUCUUGUGAAAUUAUUCGCUCUUAUCCAUGGUUUCUUCUUAUCUUCCUUAAGUCUUCAAUUUGUGUGAUUUUUUUAAUAAAUUAAUUCACUAGCUUCGAACGUAGGAUUUGAAAAGCAAUCCUUUAAUUCAAAUUAAAUUCCAAUUCAUAAGUGUUUUAAAAACUUCCCAAAACGUACAAUCUAAAAUAUUUCUUGCCCAUUUUUUAACUACAACAAAAAUCACUGCAAUAGUAUAUUCCCGUCUGCUCGGGAACAUCCAUCACAACCACACCCCCUCACUCUCUCACACUCAAACCAUUUGAAUGCGAACAUUUUUAUUUAAAUGCCACGGUUGAACUACUGAUUGCCACGCAUUUUCAAUAUUUCUCCGAUGAAGAGGUUCUCUCGCAUCUCGAUUGAGAAAACAGCAAGUGUAUCAAAUGCAUGCUGAUACUUUUAAGCUAAGAAUCAAGUAACAAAUUUACUAGCACAUCGAAGCUGUUAGUUACAAGGAAUAGCAUUAGUAUAGUUAGACUAGAGAUGCUAGAGUAAAGACUUUCUGAUAGGACUUGGGGUGAGCUUAGGUUAACUGGACGUUUUCAAUGAAUAUUUUUAAAUGUUCGAUUGAUGUGAUUUUAACGAGCGAUGAUUAUUUCUAAGCAAAAAACUGCGAUCAGUGACAACGAAGCAGUAGCAGAAACGUAUUCAACGCGAAACAUAACUUUCUUAAAACAGAAAAAAAA